GUCUACGGCCAUGCCACCCUGAACACGCCCAAUCCCAUCUGAUCUCGGAAGCUAAGCAGGGACGGGCCUGGUGAGUACUUGGAUGGGAGACCACCUGGGAAGACCAGGUGCUGUAGACG
rnacentral:rRNA from 1 species